CUACGAAAGGUGCAAGCGUUGUUCGGAUUUACUGGGCGUAAAGAGAGUGUAGGUUGUUUAUUAAGUCGGAUGUGAAAUCCCGGGGCUCAACCUCGGAACUGCAUUCGAUACUGAUAGGCUAGAGUUUGGGAGGGGUAAGCGGAAUUCCGUGUGUAGCAGUGAAAUGCGUAGAUAUACGGAGGAACACCUGAGGCGAAGGCGGCUUACUGGACCAAUACUGACACUGAGACUCGAAAGCGUGGGUAGCAAACAGGAUUAGAUACCCUAGUAGUCC
rnacentral:rRNA from 1 species